CUACGGGGGGCAGCAGUUAGGAAUAAUCUACAAUGCACGCAAGUGUGAUAGUUUGAGCCAGAGUGCUUUUCUAUUUGAAAAGCUUUUGCUGAAUGUAAAAAGUUUGGCGAAUAAGGACUGGGUAAGACUAGUGCCAGCCGCCGCGGUAAUACUAGCGGUCCAAGUCGCAGCCAUUUUUAUUGGGUCUAAAACAUCCGUAGCUUGUUUGAUAAGUUUCUUGUGAAAUUUCGUGUCUUAAACGCGAAGCGGGCAAGAAGUACUAUCAAGCUAGAGACUGGGAGACGUAAGGAGUACGUUCGAAGUAACGGUAAAAUGUGUUAAUCUCGGGCGGACUAACAACAGCGAAGGCACCUUACGAGAACAGUUCUGACAGUAAGGGAUGAAGGCUAGGGGCGCAAAACGGAUUAGAUACCCGGGUAGUC
rnacentral:rRNA from 1 species